rnacentral:rRNA from 1 species
UACGGAGGGGGCUAGCGUUGUUCGGAAUUACUGGGCGUAAAGCGCACGUAGGCGGCUUUGUAAGUUAGAGGUGAAAGCCUGAUGCUCAACAUCAGAAUUGCCUUUAAGACUGCAUCGCUUGAACGUCGGAGAGGUGAGUGGAAUUCCGAGUGUAGAGGUGAAAUUCGUAGAUAUUCGGAAGAACACCAGUGGCGAAGGCGGCUCACUGGACGACUGUUGACGCUGAGGUGCGAAAGCGUGGGGAGCAAACAGG